rnacentral:rRNA from 1 species
GACGAACGCUGGCGGCGUGCCUAAUACAUGCAAGUCGAGCGGACCGAACAGGAGCUUGCUCUUGUUCGGUUAGCGGCGGACGGGUGAGUAACACGUGGGUAACCUGCCCGUAAGACCGGGAUAACUCCGGGAAACCGGAGCUAAUACCGGAUAACACCGAAGACCGCAUGGUCUUUGGUUGAAAGGCGGCUUCGGCUGCCACUUACGGUUGGGCCCGCGGCGCAUUUGCUAGUUGGUGAGGUAACGGCUCCCCAAGGCGACGAUGCGUAGCCGGCCUGAGAGGGUGACCGGCCACACUUGGACUGAGACACGGCCCAGACCCCUACGGGAGGCAGCAGUAGGGAAUCUUCCGCCAUGGACGAAAGUCUGGCGGAGCGACGCCGCGGGAGGUGAGAAGGUCCUCGGAUCGGAAAGAUCUGUUGUUAGGGAAGAAGAAGCGUCGUUCGAACAGGGCGGCGCGGUGACGGUACCUAACGAGAAAGCCCCGGCUAACUACGUG